CGGCGAGUAUAUUAUUUUAUUCAGUACAAAACAAAGUUAAACGAACUUUUGUUAUGCUUUGUUGGUUAUUAAACCAGGCCUUUAAGGUUCUGCUGGAAAUUGGACCGGGAAAUUCCGAGUCGAUUGCUGAGUUGGAUUCCGCUAGUGAGAAACAAGAUGGCGAGCCGUAACCCAGGAGCCAUGUAACUGCCGUCUAGCAGGAGCUACGCCCUCUGCUGGACAUUGCGAAUCAUCCAAACUGAGCAGAGCCUACAGCUUGUUACCAGCAAACGAGCCGAAAUAGACACCAGCCUGUUCUGGACUUACCAAGAUUGUGAACUACCUCUGGCCCAGAUCCAUAAUCCAGAUUCACGCCACUAAUGGAAAAUUGGAACGGGCCAGAUAACUUUUGCUAUCAGGGUAAAGAGAAUUCUGCACACUGUGUCUCCAGAGUAUAGAUGGAUUCUUUAGCAGAGGAAAGAGAGUGGCAGGACAAGAAAAUAACUGCACAUGUUGAAGCCAACAGGCAUACAUCUUUAUUGCAAUGAAAAAGUUAUUGAGGCAUCUUGUUCGUUCUGCCCUUAACGACCUAUAGGGACAGAGAGAUCAGUCUGUAUAGACAACUAAAUUACCAAAGUUUCAAAGAUUUAAAUGCAUAGUUUAUAUAACUUGAACAUUGUUUGAAGUCAAUUCAGUAGGAUGAACACAAACACUGCUUUGUGAUCGUUUAUUGCAUAAUCUGGCACAAUUAUUGCAUUAUAAUGCAUCCUCUCCAUUUUUUGUAUAUAUAUAUUUGGUGGGUGGAGCUAUGAGCCUUAGCUUGUACCACAUGAUGGUCAUCAUUGUAACAUGUGUACACAAUGAAGCUGAUCGCUGCUGAUCAUUCAUCCUUUCCUUAUCAAGACCACUGUGAAUGUGCUCACCAGACAGUGAAAUGAAAGUCAUUCAUAGCCUCUCGAUCUGCAUCAAAGAGCAGCCUUCUAUUGCACUCAAUGUCCUACUUAUAGCCACAGUAAAAUGUAGCAAUUUUGCUGCAUCACCCAGGUUAAGUUGCCUCUAAUUGUAUUAAACCAAUCAUAUCCAAUUUUUUCUAGGUUUUGCUCUUCUUUCUCUGUGGUACUCAUGAAGAGAAUAAUGAAUUGGUUUUUUCUUGAUGGUAAUGAGAGUACCUGAGGUGACACGGUGGCCUAAAUUAAUACAUCCAUAGAGAGUAAAGAGUGUGCUUUUUGUGUUACCCUGCUUUGACAUGCAGUAACUGCAUCCUUCAGCUUAAAAAAAGCACAUUUUAUUAUAAGUUUCUAAACAAGAGAGUGGAUAUGCAUUGUUUUAAAAGCAGAGAAAUCAAGGUUAACUUGAAUACAAUGUUGAGACCGUUUAAGGUACAGUUAAUUUUUUUAAAGUGAGGCUCUAAAGGCUGCAGUAGUUCAUUUUCUAAACUUAGUAGUUAAUUUUUUUGUUGCAGUGGUUUGGCAUGAAUUCUCACUAGUUGAGCCACGACAAUGAAGCUUGUCAGAGAGGAGGCAAGAGCACAGUGCAUUUUCGCUUUUUAUUACAACUCCGAAAUUUAAUCGUAAUUUGUUUGAAUGCAAAUUUUUGAACUUUUCAACCACUGCCAUGUUUUCAUUUGAGGUAAUCAUGAGUGCGUUGUUGCAGACUGAACAUUUAAUAGGUUGAGCAGAUGAGGAUAAUUACCACUAAUAAAUAACAGCAAAUGGCAAUAAUAAUUAUGAACCCUGUCAUAUUUUAGUUGUUAUGACUCCUGGAAGCUAAGAAAAAAAAAUAGUCUGAUCUGUAAACUAUUUGAAGUAUUUAUUUUCUACCUGAUGUGCUAACAUUAUUUGAGAAACCUGUACAAAAAACUGUAAGGGUAACCCUAACCCUUCCACCUCAAACGUCUUGCAUGAUAUAAUAAGUUCUGAAAGGAAAACCUAAAAGUGGACAGAGCACCACUCAAUGUAAACAUAAAAUUAUCUUGAAGAUCCAUUGUUUUUGCCUAAAUCUUUAGGAUACUUUUGAGAAUAGCUGUCUUUUUAAACAGAUAUCCUCCUUGGUCUUGUCCCCUGUCAGACAUGCUUUUAAGGGACAGCAAAUCUGGAUUUAUAUUAAAUGAAUACAGCCAUAAAGUUAUCUGUUACCAUAACUUAAAAAUUAUUAACACUCUCUUUAAUUGUAAGCCUGUUAUUCAGGAUUUCCUUGGAAUGACCUGCAGAACUUGUGUUGUGUGAUUUGUGGUGUUACAGCCCCAAAAAGGCAAAAUAAUUUCUCCUUACGUUGUUUAAAGUAAAUCUGGGUGCAAAAUCUGAGUCGGUCUUCUGGACCUACUCAUCACCAAACUCUUUAAACUCCUGUCUUGUUUUUUAAAUAUUCUUGCCCUCU